rnacentral:lncRNA from 1 species
AUCCUCAGAUCUCUAUUUUUCAAGAGUUUUGAUCCUCCCCUUGAGGUCUUUAAUCUUUCUGUCGACCCUAGACUUCUGUUGUUCGAGGGCCUCAAUCCGUCUUUCAGCCUUCUACAACUCUUCAUCCCGAUGGAGAAUCGACUCUUGGGCCUUCUAAAGAGCCUCCUUAGUAAGAUUGAGUUCCUUGGCCAGCUCAGUGUUAUCUCUCUCCAGAUACUCCAAUCGAUACUUCAGCAAGUCAAUUUCGUCUUUCUCCAUCGCCAGAGCAUCGAAGUUGGAAUUAACGAGGCUCGCUAGACAUUGAUCUAUAUGAGUAAGGGAUCUCAAGGCAUCGACAGACCGUUUCUCCCCUCUUUGUUCGUUGAGAAAUAACUUUUCGACUGACGGUAGAAGAUUCCUCAAGUAUUCUAUCGCAGAUUGAAGGAUCUCUCCUGUAGACGGAGCACGAGGCAUCAGAUUUGAAGGUCUUGCAUGAGCAGUGGAUGCAAGAAAGCACCCAGCAGGGGUCGCCAUCUCUGGAGAUCCCCUAGUCUCUAUCAUCUUGGUCAUAUCUUUCUCUGGGUUGUCGCCUGCCUCUUCCAUCCGCACUUCCUCAGAUGAAACAUUUUCAGAGCAUUCCUCGACGCUCAUCUCCGGUGCCAUCUCUAUCGGUGCCCCACCAGUCGAGACUUCCUCUGGAGAACCCUGCAUCAUAGCUUCUAAUAGUUGGGCCGUGGAUUCGAUGGUAGGAGCAGAAUGUUCUUCUUCUCUGACUGCAGGUCUUUUUACAGCAACCAGAACCACAACCUGCCUCCUACGAGCCAAAAUUUGCUCAAGUCUCUUUAUGCAUUGUGAAUCUAUCUUGCUCCAAGGAAUCGUGAUGGACAAUUGGCACAAAAAGAUCUGUGGCUACUCGUGCCUUCAAAGAGCAAAUUUAAAAGAGAAAGAAAAUGAAAGGCCACCACAAAAUGAUUAAAACCUUGAAGAGACCAUCGUUUGAGUGGUCCUAUCAGUUACGUCCAUCCGCAUUAAUCGCAUUAGGCUGAUAUCAUCCACCUUAAAUACAAUAAAAGCGGGCGUGAAGAUAGAAGCGCUUGGCAUUGGAUCCGAGAUACUUUNNNNNNNNNNNNNNNNNNNNAUAGAUAUAUCACCACACAUUCGAUACCACAAUACACAACGAUAUCUCAAAAUAAUGGAGCGCCACAAAAAAAGGAUGGAGAGGAAGCCUCAGUCCAGCUCGAAAAUACUCCUCAUAGAAGCUAAUGCGCUCUGAAGGCGGACAGCAGACUCGAUCGUCCGAUCUCGGGACUUCAAGUUGAAACGUGAGAGGUAUUUGAUAUUACUUGUGCAUCAUGAUUAUGUCCCGCUCCAUCAACUUUAAUUUGAAAUCCAAUGGUGCAAAGUCAAUCUCCAUGAUGGCCAUCUCUUUCUCAUGCAAAAAAGCCAUGAAAAGAUGAAGAAGAGAAGAACUUGUAGUGAAAAGAGAAAAUCAGAGCUUAGCAAGAUCCGCGUUUAGUUCUGUCUAAGGAUGUUAAAUAACCUCAGACCUUAAUGGAAUGUCCAAAAGCCACCUCUCAUCGAUGCAUUAAUUGCAGGGAUGUGCAUCGACAGAAGACUAGCAUACGCGCAACACAUGAAGACUACGAAUGGACAUGAUUGCUAUCGCUGAUAUCAUAGUUAAUGCCAAUGGCAGAGAAUCACACUUUGCACCACUUUCGAAGGAAUACAUGCAAACAUGCUCCAAUUUCUCCCAUGCAGAUGCAAUUCAAAUUCUAAUCUUUUUGAAAUCUGUACGACAGCCGGAGCUAGCUCAGAUUUUUGCCCUAGCUUCAGCUCGGCUCAUGCCCUGUUUGAAGUAUAGCCCAGGCUAAGAAUUCGCCUGAGCUAUAUAUUUACUCUAAUCGGGUUUUACAGUUACCUAGGACCGAGCACAUAUUAAAGACUAAAAAACUUGAUUUUUAUUCAUCAAAAGAAGAGGAAUAUAUCUGUUCCUGUUAAGACUCUAGUACAAGACCAAAGAUCUCAGAUCAUAAACAAAAAAAAAGAAAAGGGGAUGAAUCACUCCUUAGAGGGAUUACCAAGGCGGUCGUCUGCAAGAUGGUAUUCCUCAAUGCUGACAAUGUCUUCGGUCUGAAUAGCUGCAUUGAUCUUAUCUACUUCGUCUGAAAAAUAGGACAUCAUUAUAAACCUCGACCAGCUAUCCGACGACACCACUUGUGAAUCUUUGUCCAGACAAUCAACUUAAAGAUGCUUGACAAAGUCAGGAGGAAGAUGCACCUGGGCAAUGGACUUGCACUUCUUGAAGCCCAUGAAGAACGCCACUUUGCAAGCUUGGGCUAUGAUCUUAGCUCCUUCUCUCUCCAGCCGCUUUCUCCUGCUUUCAGCAUGUUUGAGUAAAAUCUUCUGAUCUAUAAUUUUUUUCCAAAGAAGCUUAUGGUUUACCUUUCUCUCUUUCAACCUUUUCUUUAGGUGCUCCACCUCUGAUCUGCUAUCUUGGACUCCUAAGAGUGGCUCCGGGGAGGUCUGAACUCCCUUGAAAGUGAAACAUCCAUCCCCUCGAGGAGCUCUCUCUCCUUGGCUCAUCCCCUUAGAGAUUUUGGCCCUCUUGGGCAGACCACCAUUGAGGCCCAUUUGAGAGUGAAUUUCAAAACUCAGAGAACUUCUUCUCACUUCAAGUAUCCUCUUCAAGUGUUCUAGGUCAUCAUGGCUCUGGUGAUAGUUUUUCUCAUCCUCAGAUCUCUAUUUUUCAAGAGUUUUGAUCCUCCCCUUGAGGUCUUUAAUCUUUCUGUCGACCCUAGACUUCUGUUGUUCGAGGGCCUCAAUCCAUCUUUCAGCCUUCUACAACUCUUCAUCCCGAUGGAGAAUCGACUCUUGGGCCUUCUAAAGAGCCUCCUCAGUAAGAUUGAGUUCCUUGGCUAGCUCAGUGUUAUCUCUCUCC